rnacentral:rRNA from 1 species
UACAGAGGGUGCAAGCGUUAAUCGGAAUUACUGGGCGUAAAGCGUGCGUAGUCGGCUUUUUAAGUCGGGUGUGAAAUCCCCGGGCUCAACCUGGGAAUUGCAUUCGAUACUGGAUAGCUAGAGUUCGGCAGAGGGAAGUGGAAUUUCUGGUGUAGCGGUGAAAUGCGUAGAUAUCAGAAGGAACAUCAGUGGCGAAAGCGACUCCUGGACCAGAACUGACGAUCAGGCACGAAAGCGUGGGGAGCAAACAGG